UUGAAGAAUUUGAAGACUUCAACUUACAUACUUGAAGAAUUUAAAGACUUCAUCUAGCAUACUUGGAGGUUUUGAACACUUUAUCU
rfam:Solanum lycopersicum cultivar Heinz 1706 chromosome 6, whole genome shotgun sequence.